GGUGGAGUAGUAAGUUCAAGCUUUUGGGCUGCUUUCUGGUUGCAUCUUGAGGCGUCAGUUUCCCUGAUCAGUCAGAAGCAGGUUGAUCCUCUCAAGACUCAAGAGCUAUGAAGAUGACUCAGCAGGCAGUUCUUAGCUCAGUAACAUAUGAUUAAAGCAAUAAAAAAAUAUUAAAUGGGGCGAGUUAGCUAAAGAUUGGUCUGUCAUUAAGGAUUUUAAAGACUCAAUCCUUAGCGGCGUGGCGCGCUGUGAUUGGUCCGAGAGAUCACAUGUUUGAGAAGUUAAAAAAAUUGAUCUCAUUUGUCCCGAAGGCGAAAAAAAAAGAAACUUGUCUCGACUCCAAGGUGACUGAAACGGCGAAAUCGCGAUUGUGAAAACCCGAGGUUAACAUGGGACAGGAUUACAGUUACAGUCAGCCUUCUUCAUCAGAGUACGACAUCACCUCUCUUCUUGAAGAAGAAGCUGCACUCUACGCUGAUGAAGCAGCUGCACUCUACGCUGAUGAAGCUGAGAGUAGCUACAUGAUCGGAGAGCCGGCUGAGUACCCACCUCGAGUUGAGGCUGUUACACAACUCAGCAGACACAACUCAACAGACCUUAUGGCUAUGGAGGAGAUGAGUGAUGACUUGCGGACACAACUCAGCCAGCUUAAGGAUCAAGGUAUUAAGAGUGAGCAGAAGCUGGUUAAGCUAGAGAAGACAGUGGUGGUUUGUCUCCUGGUUUGUGUAUUACUGUUAAUGGGUUUGGUGUUCAUCUAUCUGCGUGGAAGAGCUUCAAAGGGUACGUACAAGCUGAAGUCUUACGCGGCAAUCUGAAGUCCCGACUGUUUGUAAUAAAAGGUUCUACAGUAGGCAUGUGAACCAAGUCACGGGUGCUUUGGAGAUGGGAAAGUCUUUUGGUCUUUGGAGCAUGUGAACCAAGACAGUCACGGGAUGUUCUGUUCACUUAUGUAGUAUAAGUAGUUGUAGUUGUAUCCUCUUGUUUCCUACAUCGAAACUCUUAACCUAUCUUGUUUUUUCUCCUAUCAUCUCGGAGAGGUUGUAGUGUAAGACUGAAGCACUCUUUUUAAUCAAGUAUCGGAGAGGUUGUAGUGUAAUAUUUUUAAGACUGAAGCACUCUGUCAUCUCUUAACCACAAGUAUCAUCUC